GUACUACUGAAGAGUCUCAAACUAGGACGAAACAGCUGGCUGUCCAGUAC
rfam:Trichobilharzia regenti genome assembly, scaffold: TRE_scaffold0002649